GCAACAGACGCGUGCAUCAUCGGCUGUACCUUACAGAUAUCAGCUGUUAUCCCUGUCUAGCAUCAGUCCCCAGGCGCUAUGCUAACAGUCUCCUCUACAAGCCAAUUUACAAGAAUUCCGGUCAUGUUUACAUUAGCCCUCUCCCAGUGCAUGAAAAGAGCAGGCGCGAGCCGCGGAAUAGAAAUGAGCAAAUAUGAAUAAUUCAAUCCUUCCGGCCAUUAACACGUUUCCCUCGAACAAAGUGAUAAUAGGUUAUCAUCUGUGAAAUGGAAAUUUCAUAAACCAGGCCAGGAGAAGACCGUCUCCGGUUACACCAGAGGAAAUUAAUUUCACAGCACAUCUGCUUCGCCAGAGCCCCGACCCUCUAACGCUAAGGGGAGUGCCGCAAAGCUCUGCUCCUCCAUCAAAAGCCUUACAGCCACGGAGGCCCGGAGGAUCAUCAACAAUGACAGCAUCAAAAACAAGCGCUUGCUGUUUUGGGGGACGAAACAAUUGCUUCUCAGAAAAGAAUCAUCAAAAUGCCUUUUUGAGUCCUGCGGGGAGGAAGAAGUGCAGCUUCGGGCCCUAGUCACGGUGGCCUCAGAGA